UACAAAAGCAAGAGAAACACAAUUGCAGAGAAACUGUUUGAUGAAAAGACUUAGAGCCACACCAUUGCAUUGAUAAGGAUUCUACUUCAAGGGAGAAUCCACCUCCUUACAACGAAAACACUACAAUCUAGACUUUAUUCAAAAUAUUCCAGAAUACCUCUCUCCUGCUCGUCACCAUUAUAUUUCAGAAUGUGCAACCACUACUAAUAGACUAGAAUAUUUGUUAAAAUGACCCAACAACACAGGGAAAUAUAACAGCUAUGAAAAAGCAACGUAUUGGAUGUUUUUAAUCUCCAAAACGGUGCACUUAACAUUUAAACUAAAGCAACUAAAUAUAAACUAAACUGUGUCGUUUACUCCCAUUGAGCAGCCCACUUAACAUCCAGCUUUAAACUCAACGUUUCAUUCUCAUCUCUUAAACUCAGCAACUCUGAACAACGUCGGUUCCAGAUAGAAGCAUAAAACACUUCAGUUAUUCGAGACCUCCAGUUCUUCAUUUCACUUCAAGCUUGUCUUCUACAAUCAGCUCCUAGGUUUUCGUCAGUCACAUAACAGUUGUUUAAUGGACUUCGUUUCUUCAUUUUUUCAGUGACAGCUAUGAUGGUGAAGUUUCUGAGGGAGCAUUUGGAGAAAGCUGGGUGUGUGGUUGGGGAAAACUUCAUCAAGGCUGUCCAUUGCGACAAGCAGAUCAGCGGCGGCAACGUUCAUGGCGAAGGGGUUUUAUUAUUUUGUUAUAGUCUCUCUCAGCUCUACCUCUCAUCUCUCUCUGUCUCAGUUUUUCUUCAUGUCUCAUUUUCUUUAUUUUUCUCCUUUUUUUUUUCUACAUCAAUCAUUGAAGAGCUAGGAAAAUACCAAGAUCGAUGGCAUUUGGGUCAGAUCUUAGAGGAUUGAAUAUUGUGUUUUUGCCUGGUGGAUGACUGAUGAGCCUAAACCCAGUAAAGCAUUAUCUUCAGUUUUUCAAGUAUAGGAAAAGAACUUUACUUUAUGGCUACUCGAUACUGGCUCCACACCCAAAGGUCCUUCGGUAUGGGUAUGAGAGGGGCUUUGAAAAUCAAUGUGCUCUCGAAACUUUGACGGGGGAACUUGUAGCUACAUGUAAUCGAUUGAAUCGGAAGAGGAAAGUCUGAGAUGGUGAAGGAGACAAAUUACUACGAUGUGCUUGAAGUGAACCCAACAGCCACGGAUGCCGAAAUCAAGAAAGCGUAUUACAUAAAGGCACGGCAAGUUCAUCCAAAUAAAAAAUCAGAUGAUCCUCUUGCGGCACAGAAUUUUCAGGUUUUUUGGUGAAGCUCACCAAGUAUUGAGUGAUCCAGCCCAACGAGAAGCAGCAUAUGACACUCUUUGGGAAAUCCAAAUAGCAAUUAAAAUCCAAAUGGCAAAAACCAUGACAUUUAUACAAUUUCAGUUUUUACAA